rnacentral:piRNA from 1 species
UAACCACUGACUGACUAACUGACUGUUG